rnacentral:sRNA from 3 species
AUGUACCCACGUACAUUCCGGUUCCUCCGCGCCGUCCGCACCCACCCGACGACUGCUUGCGACUUUUUGUUAGCC